rnacentral:rRNA from 1 species
UACGUAGGGGGCUAGCGUUGUCCGGAUUUAUUGGGCGUAAAGAGCGUGUAGGCGGCCAGGUAGGUCUGCUGUGAAAACUCGAGGCUCAACCUCGAGACGUCGGCGGAAACCAUCUGGCUAGAGUCCGGAAGAGGAGAGUGGAAUUCCUGGUGUAGCGGUGAAAUGCGCAGAUAUCGUUUGGAACGCCAAAGGUGAAAACAGACAGCUGGGAGUGUGCUGACGCUGAGACACGAAAGCCAGGGGAGCGAACCGG